CAGUGAACGCGUCCACACCUGAAACGUGGAUUAUGAGUCCGGUCGGUUUCCGGGCACACUUCGGACCAGGACUCCCCUGAAAGCCGACAGUCUUGCGCAUGCUGUUUUGGUCCAGAUGUAAGAACACAGGCCUGAGGAACACUUUGGAUUCUCCACGCAGCACGUCACCUG